UUUCUUAUUUUAUACUUUUUUUGUAAGGCGUUCUCUUCUAGGCCUAUUGCUAUUGAAAUUGAUUGAUGGAGAGACUUCUGUUAUGGUCUUCUCGGCUGAGUGAGGUGAAAAGUGCCACCUCAAGACUUUUGCUAGGCUGUGUCGUCCAUGAAUUGGCCCGUCUGAAAGGAACGUUACCCACGACCCCUCUUCAUUGCACAGAUCGGAAUCAGAUAGAUGUAUUAAGUCACUGUCAACAGAUCUAUUGUUGUUGUUUUUUCUGAAAUAUAAUAUUGUUUGGUGUUGAUUUUUUGGUCUAAUUAAAAGUAAAAGAAGUCUAAGUAU
rnacentral:lncRNA from 1 species